ACAAUAAACAUUUAACGUGUGCCAACUCGAUGCAUUUUAUUCAAUUAACUCGACUUGAAAUUGUUUGUUAACUUGUCCAGCCUUGAAAAUAUUAUAUGUUUGCAUGUUAGUUAUUAUUGCAUACGGAAUUCUCUCAACCUAUAGCUUAUAUAAUGUAAUAUUCUGUUUUUUCAAAUACGCGUUCAAAGUUAGGCCGUUUUAUUUCGGACGUAAUACAGUACCCGAAAACGGACUACUGCGACGCAAGUACGUCACUACUGGUCGACUGAUUAAUCAUCAUUAUAAAUAGUAAUGCCCUUUGAGUUGACUUUUGCACAGACGGCAGCGCAGUGAAUAUAAUACGUAUGUACAAAAACAAAUUCGAUAUUACCGGUCCGUGUCCGUUGUGUUCGUAGUUUAAACGUUUGUUAUGCGUAUUUUAGGGUGACGCAACGUACAGUGCCGUAUACGUAUACCGUUUACCGAGAGAUACUGGACAAAAUCAUACUUUUAAAAAUACUAAACAUU